AGUUAAUGAGCUUGAUUAAGCAUAUAUUUUGAAAAUAUAAGAUAAAGAGAAAAUUCUUUAUUAACUU
rnacentral:tRNA from 1 species